GCCACCACGUCCAGCCUCCUGGGAUAUUUCUCAAUGAAACAUUGGAUGCCAAGAUUGGUUUUGUGCCACAUGCCAAUUUCACAGAAGCCAGUCUAUGAGCCACCAGCUCUACUCAGCAAUUACAGUUUCUGGAACUUUGGCUAAAUUCCUGUAGAUGCACCACUGCUUGUGGCCUGACUCUUUGCCACCCAAGUGCGCUCAGCCUCCCCUGGGGAGUCUGCCAGGCUUGCAUGGCUCCCACUGCACUUGCUGUGCUGGGACCGAAAACAGUUUUUGUGCCCCUAGCUUAACUCCACUGGAUUCAUAGAGGCUUUGGCCUCCUCAAUGGCUGUCCUGGGACAGGGAGGCUGGUUAGCACAAUUAACACAACCUGGUCAUGCAAGGCAUUGAUGGUCCGUAACAUGAACUUUGACCAGUAGGAGACAGAGAAUGGAAAAAAGCCAGCAGAUAAAUCAUCUGGCCUUCCUCCCCUAUGACAGACUGUUCUGAGCCACAGUGUUUCACAUGUCUUCCUGGAGAUGUCCCACAUGACUUGAGCAACCAGCUGGAGCUCUGGAGAAACUGUGGCCAUCCUGAGGAAGAAACAGGCCCAGAGAAGUUGGGUAACUCAUCAAAGGUCACAGAGCUAAGAGUGGCAGAGUCAGGCCUGGAGCCCAGGAAGUCUGGUUUCGAAUUUCAUGCUUCUAACCUGAGCACUGUACUGCUUGGUGGAGUUCUCUGCUAGUCCUACCUUUCAGGCAGAGGUGAUGCAGCAAGAAAGCUGCCACCAGAUGCAGCCCCUUGAUCUCGGACUGCCCAGCCUCUAGAACUGAGUUGAAGAGCAAUUCCCUCCAGUUUCCAUUAGAAAUGCUUCUUCUUCCAUAUCAAAUAUUGUGAGAUAGCCUGAAACACCUUUCAACACUUUACUACCCUUCUCCAAAAUUCAACAGAUAUGAUUUCCACGGACUUUACUCACAGGGGCUUCAGUAGAAGAGGAAGAGGCUUGGGUUUAAUUGAAGGUGGCCUGAGACAUCUGUGAGGAACAGCCCUUUUAGAGACAUAUCCCCUACAAAUAAAGCAUCAGAAUUAUUAUCCUAAUA
rnacentral:lncRNA from 10 species